UUGGCGACCUGCAGUUGAGACCGAAAGGUUAGCAGCAGGUCAGCUCCAUGGCUUUCUUUAUAAAAGCCUUGUGUGCUGUUGCAUACCGCAUUCACUAUCUCCUUUCUCUCUCUCUCUCUCUGAAUAUAUUACUGUUCCAAGUCUGUUUUCUUACAUGGGUCCUGGUGGGCCUGGAGGACCUGGUGGGCCCGGGGGACCUGGUGGCCCUGGAGGACCAUUCGGCCCUGGCCCAGGCUGGGGACCACUUCCUGGGGGCCCCGCCGGGUGGGGCCCUGGGCCUGGAGGGCCAUUCUGGGGACCUGGCUUUGGUGGUUUCUUCCCCUCGUGUUUAUACUUCCUCUGCUGCUGCUGCCUGCUUCAGGAGUGCUGCGGGCCCUUUUUCGGUGGCCCCCGGGGCCCUCCUGGUCCACCGGGACCUCCCUUUUGAGGAUGCUCAUCGACUCCUCGGAAUCGGAUGAAUGAUGAACUCUCUCUCUCUCUCUCUCUCUCUAUUUAUAUACGUAUGUGUGAAUGAAAGGGUUUAAUCUUAAUGUGCCACAUGUUGAGAUCAAAUUACCUGACGCUUGGUGUGUAGAAGAAUGAAUGAAAUUUCAUGCGUGGUUGUUGCA